rnacentral:rRNA from 1 species
GACGAACGCUGGCGGCGUGCUUAACACAUGCAAGUCGAACGGGCCCGCCCCUGUUUUUGGGGGUGGGUUGAGUGGCGAACGGGUGAGUAUCCCGUGAGUAACCUGCCCCCUGCUCCUGGAUAACUGCUUGAAAGGGCGGCUAAUACGGGGUGUGCCGGCUGGUCCGCAUGGGCCUGGUCGGGAUAGUUUCAUCUUCGGGUGUUUCGGUGGGGGAUGGGCUCGCGGCCUAUCAGCUUGUUGGUGGGGUGAUGGCCCACCAAGGCGGUGACGGGUAGCCGGCCUGAGAGGGUGGGCGGCCACACUGGGACUGAGACACGGCCCAGACUCCUGCGGGAGGCAGCAGUGGGGGGUAUUGCACAAUGGGCGGAAGCCUGAUGCAGCGACGUCGCGUGAGGGAUGGAGGCCUUCGGGUUGUGAACCUCUUUCUCCGGUGGUGAAGGCCCUGUCCGUUGCGGCGGGGUUGACGGUAGCCGGGGAUGAAGCGCCGGCUAACUACGUG